AUGGAAUGGAAUGGAAUGGAAUGGUUUGAAAUGGAUAAGAAAUGAAAAGAAUGUAAUGGAAUCGGAUGGAAUGGAAUUGAAUGUAUUGGAGUCGAGUAGAAUAGAAUUGAAUGGAAUGGUAUUAAAUGGAAUGGAAAUGAAAGGAAUGGAAUUGAAUGGAUUUAAAUGUUAUGGAAUUAAAGGGAAUGGAUUUAAAUAGAAUGGAUUUAAAAGAAAUGGUUUUGAAUGGAAUUUAUUUGAAUAUAAUGUAAUUUAAUGGAAUGUAAUAGUAUGGAAUG
rnacentral:misc_RNA from 1 species